CCUGGGCCCAACAAGCGGCCAUAACCAAAGAUAAUCAUGUUUACACUUUUCUGGUACAAUUCUUCUAACACAGAUGUAGCUACAUACACCUUUGAUUACUGUGACAUAGUUGUUUGCACCUUUUCCACAAACACAAUAUGCAGCCAUAUACAAAGACAUACCUAGCAAAAAGGCUCACCUCACCAGACUGGGUAGGAACCACUCACAUGACUAUUAACACGUUAAAACCACAUAUUAAGACUCUACAUGACAUGGUAGCUAUAGCCAAUCCCACCUUUGAAGACACUAUGACAGUAGAGACUGGGUUUUCAGACACUAAUUUGUGGCUAGAAUGGAUGAGAUAUAACGCCAACUCACAUAAUAAGACUAACUGUUAUGUAUGUGGAGGAGCCAGGCCCCAUCUGGGCACAGUACCUCUAAGCCUACCUCCUGAAGUAGAAUUAUGUGUUCUGAGUCUUUAUGCACAAUCCACCACCAACUCCUCAACAUGUGAAUCAUGGAAAAGGGUUUACCCAAUCACUCAUGGAUAUGUCAAGCCACCUGAUGGAGUCACCAUCUAUCCAGGUAAUUACACAUGUUAUGCUAUACCUAAGAAUACUGGUGUGUAUCUGGGCAGAUUCCCAUCUGGAUAUUGCUCAACCUACCAUAGCCCACCUGUGUCACUGCUAAUAAAUCAUGCAAAGACCAUUGGAGAUAUCUAUUGGUUAUGUGGUGACAGACAAUUGAGGUCCCAAUUAGCUGAGCAAUGGUGGGGGGAGUGUGCCCUAACCAAAGUCAUAAUGCCUAUCCACAUUAUUCCAGAUGGUAGUCAUAACACGUUAACCCUUACACAUGUACACUCUAGAACCAAACGAGGGGCUCCUAUCCGAGGGAGCUUUGACCCCCAUGUGUAUAUUGAUGCCAUAGGUGUGCCAAGGGGGGUGCCUAAAGAAUACAAAGCAAGAGAUGAAGUGGCUGCAGGAUUUGAAUCCCUAAUUCCAAUGAUAACUUCUAACAAAAAUGUCAAUUGGAUUAACUACAUUUACUAUAAUCAACAGCGCUUUGUCAACUAUACUAGGGAUGCCCUACAGGGCCUGGCAGAGUAAUUACAAGCCACUACCCAAAUGACAUUUCAGAACAGAAUGGCCCUAGAUAUGAUUUUAGCUGAGAAAGGGGGUGUAUGUAAAAUCCUCCCUGAGACCAUGACAUGUUGCACAUACAUUCCAGACAACACUGGGCCCAAUGGUAAGGUGACUAUGGCCAUAGAGAAGCUAGAUAGUCUUGCAGACGAGCUAAAGAAAAAUUCAGGAGUCACUGACACUUGGGACAGAUGGUUUGGAUGGAUGAAUGGUUGGCAAAGGACCCUCUUCCAGGUAGGGACAGCUGUUCUUAUAAUGAUCAUCAUUUCCUUAUUUCUAACCUGUUGCGUACUCCCUUGCAUAACAGAAGUACUUACAGAAAGCGGUAGAUAAGACUGUGGAUGAC
rnacentral:lncRNA from 1 species